CGUCAACAUGGUGCCUUUCCAGCAAACAAAAAGUAGGAUAAUGCAUGAAGAAAUUAUGCGGAAAAACACGAGGCCUCCAAACGUAAAAAUAAAGCCCAGAGUGAGACACUGAAGACCAACACUGAGGCCAUCACAGAUCCAAACACAGACCCCAGUACUGUCUCGUACCCUGGAACACCUAUCAACCAGGACAUAGUAAAGGAGAAGAAAAAGAAGAGGGCUAUUAUACUGACCAAAGAUGAGAAGACCAUGGCCGCCUUAGAGAAAGACCAGACGGAGUAUGAGCGGUUUCUGGAUCACAUGACUCUCUGGAUCCAGGAGCACCAGGAACAGGCAGUAGAGCUGUUCAGCCUGUGUGAUACAGACAGCACUGGUACCAUCGGCCCGAGGACUUUGAGCAGGGUAAUCCAUCCCUCUUCUGGUCUGUUACACCCUCAUUCUUUCAUCUGGGGCUCAUGGCUGCAAUUAAGGUAUGUCAAAGGAUUACCUCAUAAUGAGUCCAAAUACUCUUUUCAAUGCUAGUAGUUCACUCUAGCAUGUUUCAGUGAGUUCCAUUUGGAAAUGUUGUGAUGAUUCUUUCCACUGUAGACCCCUUGAAAAGUAAGGUCAAAUGUAACUGGCUGUUCUCAGCUCCUUUAAAUGUAACAUAAAGAAAACCACUGUGGCAAGCGAUUACAAAACAUUUUAUGAGACUCCUGAGUCAGUCCUAUCUGAAUGCCACUGACUGUGUGGGGUUUUAUUGAAGAUAUAUAAGUGCUUAUGGUCAGUGUUCUGAUUCAGACUGCUUAGAAUGCAAGCACUUGUUCAUUUCCUGGAGAGCUUGUAAGUGGCCCUCUCACCCCCCACAGAUAACAGCUCGUCCUGGGAAACAAAAACAGAACAAUGUUCCUUUUGUCCUUCAGGCCCCAGACAUUGAGUUUACUGUAAGUUUCUUCAGAAGAAAACAUUAAUCCUUCAGAAAGUUGGAGCCAAGGAGAACCAAGGAGCACAGUCAGCCUUAAGCCUUAAAUCCAUCAUUCAGGCCUCUUUUAUUUACAUUUUAUUUCACCUUUAUUUAACUCUUGCCUAAUGCCUCUGUGGAUAGAGCCAUUUAAUGGCUGAUUCACUGGAGAGAUAGCAUCAUCAUUGGUAUAAGAAUCACUAUCUAGGGGAUUAGCACUUUAUAAUUGACAUAUAAAAGCCACAAUUUCUGUAGAUUGUCUCUGGUAUAAAAAGCAAUAAGUUCAAAUUGAAAAUCCCUUACAUCCUUAGGUAUGACAGAUUUGGGGAUUCCAUGUCUGCAAUUUCAGCUGGAUCUGCUGCCACAGGUACUGAGGAGAGGCAACGAUGGGGAGAUUGAUUACAGGGACAUGAGCAACCAACUACAGAGAGUAAUGUAAAGCAAAAUCAGCAUUUUAUACUAGUCAAAUCAAAUCAAAUUGUAUUUGUCACAUGCGCCGAAUACAACAGGUGUAGACAUUACAGUGAAAUGCGUACUUACAAGCCCUAACCAACA